GUUAAUGUAAAAAAAAAAUAGGACAUUAAUUUUUGGGAACUCUCAAGGCCCAGGUGGAUUUUGGAAUUAGGACUUUUCCCCCAUCCUAGUUACGCCACUGCGAGCCUGUCGUGGUAUAUAGGUGGUUUCGUAAUCAAUAGGCAUCUAUAUUAUAUGGAUGAGCAUGAGCUAAUAUCGUUUGGUUAUAAAAGUUAAAUAAAUGAAAAGUGUUUUUCUUAUGGAUAAAGCUUACAAAACAAACCGUUUAAAAAAGUGACCAUUGAAUGAGGUGGAAAAAAAAACAAAACAAAUGACAUAAGGACACAAAAAUAUUACUUGUCCUCGAUGCUAAGGCUAACUACUAAAAUAACAUUUCAAAUACUGUUCGAGCUUGGAACGGGUUGCCUGAAUCAUACAGAAACACUAAUGACCUAAUUUGAAUCGCUAUCAUAAACGAUCAAAUGAACAUUUAGAUAAAGGUCAGAGCGUCAACAAAAACAAAACACUUCACAGUUUUUUGAACCAUGAACAAAAUUACUAGAUCUGAAUAAUCCUAAAUCUUUAUAUAUUGUCUUUAGGAAGAUAUAUUCUAUUGCAGCGGUUCUCAACCAUUUAAGCCCAGCGACCCCUUUUUUUACAAUCCCCCCCACACAUACAGCAAUAGAAGAAUAUACAAAAACAAUCCAUAUUUUCGAUGGUCUUAGCCGACCCCUGACAAAUCGUCAAUCGAAAAAGGGGUCACGACCCACAUGUUAAAAACCCCUGCUCUAUUAUGUACGUAUUUUAAGAACUUUUUAUCAUUACCAUGUUUGUACAAAAAAAAAAAAAAA